GAUGAACGCUGGCGGCGUGCCUAAUACAUGCAAGUCGAGCGAACGGACGAGAAGCUUGCUUCUCUGAUGUUAGCGGCGGACGGGUGAGUAACACGUGGAUAACCUACCUAUAAGACUGGGAUAACUUCGGGAAACCGGAGCUAAUACCGGAUAAUAUUUUGAACCGCAUGGUUCAAAAGUGAAAGACGGUCUUGCUGUCACUUAUAGAUGGAUCCGCGCUGCAUUAGCUAGUUGGUAAGGUAACGGCUUACCAAGGCAACGAUGCAUAGCCGACCUGAGCGGGUGGUUGGCCACACUGGAACUGAGACACGGUCCAGACUCCUACGGGAGGCAGCAGUAGGGAAUCUUCCGCAAGGGGCGAAUGCCUGACGGAGCAACGCCGCGUGAGUGAUGAAGGUCUUCGGCUCGUAGAACUCUGUUAUUAGGGAAGAACAAAUGUGUAAGUAACUGUGCACAUCUUGACGGUACCUAAUCAGAAAGCCACGGCUAACUACGUG
rnacentral:rRNA from 1 species